AUUGAACGCUGGCGGCAGGCCUAACACAUGCAAGUCGAACGGUAACAGGAAGCAGCUUGCUGCUUUGCUGACGAGUGGCGGACGGGUGAGUAAUGUCUGGGAAACUGCCUGAUGGAGGGGGAUAACUACUGGAAACGGUAGCUAAUACCGCAUAACGUCGCAAGACCAAAGAGGGGGACCUUCGGGCCUCUUGCCAUCGGAUGUGCCCAGAUGGGAUUAGCUAGUAGGUGGGGUAACGGCUCACCUAGGCGACGAUCCCUAGCUGGUCUGAGAGGAUGACCAGCCACACUGGAACUGAGACACGGUCCAGACUCCUACGGGAGGCAGCAGUGGGGAAUAUUGCACAAUGGGCGCAAGCCUGAUGCAGCCAUGCCGCGUGUAUGAAGAAGGCCUUUCGGGUUGUAAAGUACUUUUCAGCGGGGAGGAAGGCGAUAAGGUUAAUAACCUUGUCGAUUGACGUUACCCGCAGAAGAAGCACCGCUACC
rnacentral:rRNA from 1 species